GACGAACGCUGGCGGCGUGCUUAACACAUGCAAGUCGAACGAUGAAGCCGUGCUUGCGCGGUGGAUUAGUGGCGAACGGGCGAGUAACACGUGAGUAACCUGUCCUCUUCUUUGGGAUAACGGCUGGAAACGGCUGCUAAUACCGGGUAUUCAGAUUUCAUCGCAUGGUGGGGUUUGGAAAGGUUUUUUCUGGUGGGGGGUGGGCUCGCGGCCUAUCAGCUUGUUGGUGGGGUGAUGGCUUACCAAGGCUUUGACGGGUAGCCGGCCUGAGAGGGUGGUCGGUCGCACUGGGACUGAGAUACGGCCCAGACUCCUACGGGAGGCAGCAGUGGGGAAUAUUGCACAAUGGGCGCAAGCUUGAUGCAGCGACGCCGCGUGGAGGAUGGAGGCCUUCGGGUUGUAAACUCCUUUCGCUUAGGAGAAAGGCAUUCUUUUGGGGGUGUUGAUGGUACUGGGUGAAGAAGCGCCGGCUAACUACGUGCCAGCAGCCGCGGUAAUACGUAGGGCGCGAGCGUUGUCCGGAUUUAUUGGGCGUAAAGAGCUCGUAGGUGGUUCGUCGCGUCUGCCGUGAAAUUCAGCAGCUUAACUGUUGGCUUGCGGUGGGUACGGGCGGGCUUGAGUGCGGUAGGGGUAACUGGAAUUCCUGGUGUAGCGGUGGAAUGCGCAGAUAUCAGGAGGAACACCGAUGGCGAAGGCAGGUUACUGGGCCGUUACUGACACUGAGGAGCGAAAGCGUGGGGAGCGAACAGGAUUAGAUACCCUGGUAGUCCACGCCGUAAACGUUGGGAACUAGGUGUAGGGGGCAUAACCUUGUCUUCUGCGCCGUAGCUAACGCAUUAAGUUCCCCGCCUGG
rnacentral:rRNA from 1 species